UACAGAGGGGGCAAGCGUUGCUCGGAAUCACUGGGCGUAAAGCGCACGUAGGCGGCUUUCUAAGUCAGGGGUGAAAUCCUGGAGCUCAACUCCAGAACUGCCUUUGAUACUGGAGGGCUUGAGUCCGGAAGAGGUGAGUGGAACUCCGAGUGUAGAGGUGAAAUUCGUAGAUAUUCGGAAGAACACCAGUGGCGAAGGCGGCUCACUGGCCCGGUACUGACGCUGAUGUGCGAAAGCGUGGGGAGCAAACAGG
rnacentral:rRNA from 1 species